UGUGUAUAUAUAUAUAUAUAUAUAUAUAUAUAUAUAUAUAUAUAUAUAUAUAGAAUCAGGAUCUGGUGAGAACCACCCCUUAAGAUGAGAACUGAGAACUAAUCUCAGUCGUUGAUCAAUUGAAUCUAAUGGUUGUAAAGCUACCCAAAAUUUCGAAGUUAGUAAGGGUAAAAUGGUAAUUUACCCGCGUUGAAUGACCUCCCCCAACUCCUCAAUUUUCAGAUUUUUUUUUUCUCUCUCUUCCUCCCUCCUCCCCUGCGAAUUCUCUCACUCUCUCUCUCUCUUUCAUUCUCCUCCUCCUUCUUUCUCAUAUCUUCUUCUUCUAAAUUCAUAUUCUGGGAUUUAUUUUUCGUUUCUUCCGUUGCCCAGGUAAACCCCUUUUCAAUUUAUAUUUUCGAACAAAUGAAAUUAGGGUUUUUAGUUCUUAUUCGUUUGUGAUGUUGUGUUUACUUUUUCUGAUGUUGUGUUUACUUUUUGUCGAUGCUGUGUUUACUUUUCAUUAUUUUUUGUUUACUUUUAUCCGAUGUUGUGUUUACUUUUUAUAAUCUUGUGUUUACUUUUUCUAAUCUUGUGUUUACUUUAUGUCGAUAUUGUGUUUACUUUUGAUUAUAUUGUGUUUACUUCUACUCGAUGUUGUGUUUACUUUUUUUGAUCUUGUGUUUACAUUCUGUCGAUGUUGCGUUUACUUUUGAUUAUAUUGUGUUUACUGUUACUCAAUGUUGUAUUUACUUUUUCCGAUCUUGUGUUUACUUUCUGUCGAUAUUGUGUUUACUUUUCUUGAUCUUAUGUUUACUUUCCGUCCGUUUUGUUUUAAUCUAACAACUAUUAGAGGUUCUCAUUAUAAGGGAGGUUCUCGAUGUAUAUAUUAGAUUUUACCCCCUCGCGUGUAAUGUGGAUGCUCGACUCUUAUCCACUCACUAUCCUAUACUCCUCCGUAUUUUAAAAAUAGAUACACUUUGACUGGCACGUAAUUUUAGAAAAAUGAGUUGAAUUUAUUAAAAUAAGAUGAAAGUAGAGUAGUGGUGAAUUAUUUCCUAUAGUAAAAAUAUAAUGUGGGUAAGUGUGGGGACCACAGAAAGAGAAAUAUUAAUAUAAUUGGAAGUGGGGAUCAAAACGUGUUAAAAAAAGGAAAGUGUAUCUCAAAUACGGUCGUUUAAGGAAAGUGUAUCUCUUUUUAAAAUACAGAUGGAGUAAUAAUUAAUGGCUACAUAGGUAUGCACCUAUCUCUAAAUGCAUACUCCCUCCGUAUUUAUUUAAGAGAUACACUUGGCAGGGCACGGGUAUUAAGAAGGAGAAUUGAAUAAAAUAAAAUAAUAAAGCAAGUGGGGUUGGGUAGAUAUUUUAAUAAGUAAACAAAUGGGGACCAUGUCAUUUUGGUGGGGUGGGAGGUGGGAUGGGUUUAUGAAAUUAUUUGUUUAAUCGUAUGGUGGGUCAUAGGGUAAAUUAGAUAUAUUAUUUAAUUAGAUGGUGGGGUUGAUAAGUUACUAAAAAUGGCAAGUGUAUCUCUUAAAUAAAUACGGCCGGAAAAGGCAAGUGUAUCCCUUAAAUAAAUACGGAGGGAGUAUGAGCUAAAACCACACCACAUUAUAUAACCCAUUUUUCUCUCUCUUCUAACCUCUCCUCAUUCAUCAAACCUCAUUUUCUCUCACCAUUUUCUCUCUCAUCAAAACCUCCACAUUCUCGUUUCGUCGGCGACGAACUUCUCGCCUGAAUCAUAGAUUGCCGAUCUAAUCUUCCGUCAAAUCGCCAGAAAUCACCUUAUUCGCAUCAGAAUCGGAGAUCGUGUUCUUCCUGAGAGGAGUACCGUUUGUUAAACUUUGAUUUGAAGACAGAGAAGUGGUGGUGCUCAAAGCUUGUCGCCGACCAUGGUGUUGUUGUUCUUCAACGAUCUCAAAAGAAUUUAACAAGGAGGAAAAAAGACAGAGUCGAAGAAGAAGUGGAGGAGAAGUUGGUAAGCUCAAUCCAUUUGCAAUUGAUGGUAGAAAAUUUAUCGACGAGGAGGGGCAAAUAAGAACUAUUAAGAUGGAGAAAAGUUGCAGAUGAGAGAGAAAGAAACAUAGAGGAAAGAGGAACAUAGAAGUAGAAAAAGAUUCAUCAAUGUUCAUAUUUUUUAUUUGAUUAUUUUUCGAAUGAUAAUUCUCUACCAAAAUGUAGCGUAAUGAUUAAACUUGUGUGGACGUACUAGAGUUUCUGAUAUAUUAAUUAAUAUUACUUAA